GCCAGUGUGGUAUAGUGGUUUGAAUGUUGGACUAUGACUCUGGAGACCAGGGUCUGAUUCCCUGCUCAGCCA